CAGGGCGGGAAUGGAGGUGGGGGGAGGGGUGCUUAAAGUCUGGUAGGAGAUGCUGGCUCCCAGCAGCCUGUGGCUGUGGUGGGGAUCGGAGUGGGCUAUGAACACAGGAGGACUCCAUCCCCUCUUGUGCACAUCUAGUCCCUGGGCUUCCUGCAGCCCCGCCAGCAAACCAAGCCCCCCAGACACAGGGGUUUGUGAUGGGGGUUCUGGAUGCUGUUAGGCAAAGCCGUAGCCACUUGGUUGUUCCUUUAACAGCUGCUUGGUGAGUCAGAUGGGCGAGGUCCAACAGGCCUGCCUUACGCAUUGCGGGCACAGCAGUGGGCAGCAGACGCUGCCCUUGCACUCCUGGAGCACACGGAAGUCCCUCGGCCGGCCUAAGGGCUUUUACAGAGGCAGAGCUGGGCAGAGAGAAAUGUUCCAUCCUUCGGUUCACUUCCCAAAUGCCUACAACGGCCGCUGGUGCUGGGCCAGGCGGAAGCCAGGAGCCAGAAACUUAAUCCGGGUCUGCAGCAUGGGUGGCAGGGCCCCGAGUACUUGAGCCAUCACCUCCCAGGAUGAGCGUUAGCAAGAAGCUGAAUGGGAAGUGGAGGUGCGACUCCAUCUGGGGAUGCGGGUGCUCCAGCCCAGGCCAAAGUGCUGCACCACCACAGCCGCCCAAGAAUCUCACCGGGUCCUAGGAGGGUGCCCCAGGCAGAGGAAGCAGCAGAUGCAGCGCUCCGGAGGUGAGAGUGUGCAGCCUUGACGGCGCCCGGGGGAAGCGGCCCCCAACAUCCAGAUCUCCACCUGCCCCUCCCCGCUGGGGUCCUCUCGGGGCCUUCUGUGCCAUCUGGGCCCAUCCCCUGGGGGCAGCCCGCCACCUGGCGGCAGAGCGCAGUCAAUACAUCGCUUUCCGGCCCCUUCAGCCUGGGCUUAGAGCGCCAGCUGGCGCCGCCGCUCAGUCCGAAGACGCGGAGCCGCGGGUGGAGCGGGGGCAGCGAGGGCCCGCACUUCCACCCCCGGGCACAGAGCCCCCCGUGGCUGGGCUGUGCCCCCUGGCUGGCCUCUGUCUCAUCCUUUCUUGGAUCAAGUUGUAAGCAGUAUUCUUCUCACUUAUUCAUUCAAUAAAUAUGUAUCUAUUUAAA